rnacentral:rRNA from 1 species
ACAGAAGAAGCACCGGCUAACUCCGUGCCAGCAGCCGCGGUAAUACGGAGGGUGCGAGCGUUUAAUCGGGAAUUUACUUGGGGCGUAAAGCGCAUGCAGGCGGCCUGUUAAGUCAGAUGUGAAAGCCCGGGGCUUAACCUCGGAAUUGCAUUUGAAACUGGCAGGCUAGAGUCUUGUAGAGGGGGUAGAAUUUCAGGUGUAGCGGUGAAAAUGCGUAGAGAUCUGAAGGAAUACCAGUGGCGAAGGCGGCCCCCUGGACAAAGACUGACGCUCAGAUGCGAAAGCGUGGGGAGCAAACAGGAUUAGAUACCCUGGUAG